GAUGAACGCUAGCGGCAGGCCUAACACAUGCAAGUCGAGGGAGAAGCCCUUUCGGGGGCAGAAACCGGCGCACGGGUGCGUAACGCGUAUGCAACCUACCUUUCACAGGGGGAUAGCCCGAAGAAAUUUGGAUUAAUACCCCAUAAUAUUAUUGGAUGGCAUCAUUUGAUAAUUAAAACUGCGGUGGUGAAAGAUGGGCAUGCGUCCUUUUAGCUAGUUGGAGUGGUAACGGCACCCCAAGGCUACGAUAGGUAGGGGUCCUGAGAGGGAGAUCCCCCACACUGGUACUGAGACAGGGACCAGACUCCUACGGGAGGCAGCAGUGAGGAAUAUUGGUCAGUGGUCGGAAGACUGAACCAGCCAUGCCGCGUGCAGGAAGAAUGCCUUAUGGGUUGUAAACUGCUUUUAUAUGGGAAGAAUAAGGUGUACGUGUACAUUGAUGACGGUACCAUAUGAAUAAGCAUCGGCUAACUCCGUG
rnacentral:rRNA from 1 species